rnacentral:rRNA from 1 species
AGAGUUUGAUCUUGGCUCAGAUUGAACGCUGGUGGUAUGCUUAACACAUGCAAGUCGAACGGUAACAGAAGGAGCUUGCUCCUUGCUGACGAGUGGCGGACGGGUGAGUAACGCGUAGGAAUCUACCUAUCUGUGGGGGAUACCGUUUGGAAACGAACGUUAAUACCGCAUAAUAUCUUCGGAUUAAAAGUGGCACUUGUGCUGCUGCGGAUAGAUGAGCCUGCGUUAGAUUAGCUUGUUGGUGGGGUAAAGGCCUACCAAGGCUGCGAUCUAUAGCUGAUUUGAGAGGAUGAUCAGCCACAUUGGAACUGAGACACGGUCCAAACUCCUACGGGAGGCAGCAGUGGGGAAUAUUGGACAAUGGGCGGAAGCCUGAUCCAGCAAUACCAUGUGUGUGAAGAAGGCUCUAGGGUUGUAAAGCACUUUAGUCAGGGAGGAAGUUUAUUUGGUUAAUAGCUGAAUGAAUUGACGUUACCUGAAGAGUAAGCACCGGCUAACUCCGUGCCAGCAGCCGCGGUAAUACGGGGGGUGCAAGCGUUAAUCGGAAUUACUGGGCGUAAAGGGUCUGUAGGUGGUAUAGUAAGUCAGAUGUGAAAGCCCAGGGCUCAACCUUGGAACUGCAUUUGAUACUGCUAAACUAGAGUAUAGUAGAGGAAUGGGGGAAUUUCUGGUGUAGCGGUGAAAUGCGUAGAGAUCAGAAGGAACACCAAUGGCGAAGGCAACAUUCUGGACUAAUACUGACACUGAGGGACGAAAGCGUGGGGAUCAAACAGGAUUAGAUACCCUGGUAGUCCACGCUGUAAACGAUGAGUACUAGCUGUUGGGUUCGGGUGUAAAGGAUCUAGUGGCGCAGCUAACGCGUUAAGUACUCCGCCUGGGGACUACGGCCGCAAGGCUAAAACUCAAAGGAAUUGACGGG